GAGUAGCUCAACUGGGUGAGGAGUGGUCCGCGCAGCGGAUGAUUUGGUCCGGGGGACCAAAUCAAGCGACGAACGCACCCGCCUUCUAAGCGGGUGGUUGCAGGUUCAAGUCCUGCCGGAGUCGCCA
rnacentral:tRNA from 1 species